UACGAAGGGGGCUAGCGUUGUUCGGAAUUACUGGGCGUAAAGGGCGCGUAGGCGGUGUGUCAAGUCAGGCGUGAAAGCCCCGGGCUCAACCUGGGAACCGCGCUUGAGACUGGCACGCUCGAGUUCGGGAGAGGAUGGUGGAAUUCCCAGUGUAGAGGUGAAAUUCGUAGAUAUUGAGAAGAACACCGAUGGCGAAGGCAGCCAUCGUGACCGACACUGACGCUGAGGCGCGAAAGCGUGGGAGCAAACAGG
rnacentral:rRNA from 1 species